rnacentral:rRNA from 1 species
GUGAGGAAUAUUGGACAAUGGGCGCAAGCCUGAUCCAGCCAUGCCGCGUGCAGGAUGAAGCAUCUAUGGUGUGUAAACUGCUUUUAUACAGGAAGAAACCCUGGCUCGUGAGCCAGAUUGACGGUACUGUAGGAAUAAGGAUCGGCUAACUCCGUGCCAGCAGCCGCGGUAAUACGGAGGAUCCAAGCGUUAUCCGGAAUCAUUGGGUUUAAAGGGUCCGUAGGCGGUUUUAUAAGUCAGUGGUGAAAUCCGGUAGCUCAACUAUCGAACUGCCAUUGAUACUGUAGAACUUGAAUUAUUGUGAAGUAACUAGAAUAUGUAGUGUAGCGGUGAAAUGCUUAGAUAUUACAUGGAAUACCAAUUGCGAAGGCAGGUUACUAACAAUACAUUGACGCUGAUGGACGAAAGCGUGGGGAGCGAACAGGAUUAGAUACCCCUGUAGUCC